AGCUUUUUAGUUUAUGUAAAAUUUUUGUUUGUGGUACAAAAGAAUUAAAUGCUAU
rnacentral:tRNA from 1 species